rnacentral:rRNA from 1 species
ACUCAAAGGAAUAGACGGGGACCCGCACAAGCAGUGGAGCAUGUGGUUUAAUUCGAUGCUACGCGAAAAACCUUACCAGCUCUUGUAUCCUCACUAUGAUUUUCAGAAAUGAAUUUCUUCACUUCGGGUGGGUGGGAGACAGGUGUUGCAUGGCUGUCGUCAGCUCGUGUCGUGAGAUGUUAGGUUAAGUCCUUCAACGAGCGCAACCCUCGUCCUUAUUUGCCAUCGGGUUAUGCCGGGAACUAUAAGGAAACUGCCAACGACAAGUUGGAGGAAGGUGGGGAUGAUGUCAAGUCAUCAUGGCCCUUAUGGGCUGGGCUACACACAUGCUACAAUGGUGGUUACAGCGGGAUGCGAAAGAGCAAUCUGGAGCCAAUCCUACAAAAGCCAUCUCAGUUCAGAUUGGGGGCUGCAACUCGCCCCCAUGAAGUUGGAAUUGCUAGUAAUCGCGGAUCAGCACGCCGCGGUGAAUACGUUCUCGGGUCUUGUACACACCGCCCGU